UACAGAGGGGGCAAGCGUUGUUCGGAAUUACUGGGCGUAAAGGGCGCGUAGGCGGCCUUCUAAGUCGAACGUGAAAUCCCCGGGCUCAACCCGGGAACUGCGUCCGAUACUGGAAGGCUUGAAUCCGGGAGAGGGAUGCGGAAUUCCAGGUGUAGCGGUGAAAUGCGUAGAUAUCUGGAGGAACACCGGUGGCGAAGGCGGCCUGCUGGGCAGUAGCUGACGCUGAUGCGCGACAGCGUGGGGAGCAAACAGG
rnacentral:rRNA from 1 species